UGCGGGGGGGGCAAGCGUUGUUCGGAAUUACUGGGCGUAAAGGGCUCGUAGGCGGCCAACUAAGUCAGACGUGAAAUCCCUCGGCUUAACCGGGGAACUGCGUCUGAUACUGGAUGGCUCGAGUUUGGGAGAGGGAUGCGGAAUUCCAGGUGUAGCGGUGAAAUGUGUAGAUAUCUGGAGGAACACCGGUGGCGAAGGCGGCAUCCUGGACCAACACUGACGCUGAUGAGCGAAAGCCAGGGGAGCAAACGGG
rnacentral:rRNA from 1 species